UACGAAGGGGGCUAGCGUUGCUCGGAAUCACUGGGCGUAAAGGGCGCGUAGGCGGAUCUUUAAGUCGGGGGUGAAAGCCUGUGGCUCAACCACAGAAUUGCCUUCGAUACUGGGGAUCUCGAGACCGGGAGAGGUGAGUGGAACUGCGAGUGUAGAGGUGAAAUUCGUAGAUAUUCGCAAGAACACCUGCGGCGAAGGCGGGUAGCUGGGCCGACACUGACGCUGAUGCGCGAAAGCCAGGGGAGCGAACGGG
rnacentral:rRNA from 1 species